rnacentral:rRNA from 1 species
UAGGGAAUUUUCCACAAUGGACGAAAGUCUGAUGGAGCAACGCCGCGUGAGUGAAGAAGGGUUUCGGCUCGUAAAACUCUGUUGUUAAAGAAGAACAUAUCUGAGAGUAACUGUUCAGGUAUUGACGGUAUUUAACCAGAAAGCCACGGCUAACUACGUGCUAG